rnacentral:lncRNA from 1 species
UCUUCCCACUGCUGGAGCUGCACUGUCUGAAGUGUGGAGCUCUUGGUCCUUACAGCUUACUCACUGUGGACUCAGUCCUCAUGAUUGGACAAUGCUCUGGUUACUAUCACCCAGAGGAGUGGCGCCCACUACAGCCUCCUGGGAUGGCCUUAGACACUCUUUAUUUGAUACAGGAGUGUCUCAUUAUGCAGUUCAAGCAGGCCUUAAACCCCCAGUCCUUCUCAUGGCCUCCUAAGUGUUGGGACUACAGGCCUGUGCUACCAUGCCCGACUCCACAGUGGGCUCUUUUUUUUUUUUCUUUUUAAAACUUUUUAUUAUUUCAUAUAUAGUUUGCCUACAUUUAUGCCUGUGCACUACAUGUGUGCCUGGUGACAGUAGAGUUCAGAAGAGGGUGUCAGAUCUUCUGGAACUGGAGGUACAGAUAGUUGUGAGCCACUGUGUGGGUGCUGGGAAUAGAAUCCAGUUCCUCUGCGGAGCAGCCAGAGCUCUCUGACCAUCUCUCCAGCCCCAUCUUUGAUUUUAAAGAAAUCUCAGCAUUAUUGGAGAUUGAACCUAGGACCUUGUGCAUGGCUGACAGCAUUCUACAACCAAUCUACACCACUCGCUGCCCACAGUGAACUUUUAAAUGGAGCUACUCUGCCCCACACUGUGGGUCCUCAUCUUGUCCAUCACCCUGACCCUGUAAUUGUCUCAAGUGAGGUCUUGUGAGGCUGGAAGCCAGGCCUGGGCCCUCUUCACCCCCUGUAAAGCAAGAGCUAUUUGCUCUGAUUUGAGGCACCAACCAUAUGACUACAGCAAGAGUUCCAAUUCUUCUAGGAGUUGGCCAUAAAGCAGUCGUGGGUCACAAAAAGUGUCCAUCAAGCUGGUUGGUCUGCAAACAGCACAGUGCUAGGCUGGGCCAGACCUGGCCUGCAAAGACAAGAGGAACUUGGAGACAGCUCCAAGAAACUCCUUUAUCACAGGAUCAGGCAGAGCUUGGUCUUGCCCUGAGCCUGUUACUGGGGCCCAUCGAUGCCUGGUAAGGACACUAGGGCAGGAGAAGUUCUGGGGCCCAUCAGGAUGAAGGUUACUGCUAAGCAAGGGGGGUGGAGACCACCCUGCACUCCCUUCCUCCCCCACUUGGGAGAUUAGCCCUGGCCUUGGGGACAUCUGGCAGGUUCUAGGCCUACUACCAGCAGACUCCCCUCAUCUAGCAAUAUCUAGAUCCCCUCCUCUGCUCGGGUAGCUCUGCUGUGCUGAAGAGAGCCUGGGUAGGGCCAUCCAGGCAGGUACCACCCUGGCCUAAGUUGUUUGAGGAUGACUCUCCCAGGAACCAGGAAGUAGCUGGGCCACAUUGUCAUUGUCAUCAUCACCCUGACCUAAGGACUAGGAUGCACCAGCCCUAGACCAGCUUCCGGGAGGACAGGAAGGGUUGCCAGGGGCCUGCCAACUCCACACACAAGCUCCCAGGCAGGGCUCUGCCUGGUGAAUCACUCACACACAGUAGCCUGAAGUGGCACUGCUUGUGCUCAGAACAAACGAUUUGUGGGGGUUGGGGACAGUAGGCUGUAGGGAGCCUAACUUAGAGCUUUGCACUUCAAGUUGGUCUUUCUCAGUACUAGUGCUUGGCCUGCAGAAAGAAAAAAAGUGGUGGGCCUGGGAAGACAGACCAACAAGGGUUCCAUAUGGGAGCAUUUCCUUUGGGCAUAGCUUGCCAGUGUGUAUUGGGGGGAUCCACGGUGGGAUAGGCUGAGGCAUUCUUUGUGAAGCCAUCUGGGUGCUGCUGCUCACUCUGGGAGACUGGUGACUACCACAGGAGCCUCUGGCCCUUUACUGAGCAGGCUGCCAUAAAGGGAUAUUUGUACUCCCAGAGCCUGACACUCAGAUCUGGUGCAUACUUGAUGUCCAUGCCCACCAGCAAAAGUGGUUUCAGCUCCUAGGUCACCUGCUCUAAUACCUUGUUAUCUGUAGCUUGGAACUUCUCCAGGGGACCCUGGGGUCCCUGAAGAUCUGUAGAUCUGGGCUGUGUGAGACUUUGUUCACUCGCAGCUGCUGAACAUUGAGGGUUGGUGCAGAGGUGUGUGACACUCAAGAAGACACACUCAUGAAGACACGCCUUAUCAUGAAAACAGACACAUGUUACUGACUAGUUGUUGAAAUAUAUUGGGUUUAUUAGGUAAAAGAAACUCUAUCUCCUUUUUUGAGACAGGGUCCUGUUCCAUAAUCCAGGCUAGACUUGAACUUCCUAUGCGUAAUCAGAGCUGAUACUCCUGCCUCAGCUUUUAUAAUAGUGGGGCUAUAGGAUGUACCUACCACUGCAGCUGACUUUACAAUACAUUGUUACAAUUCAUGUUUUUGCCUAGCAUACAUGAAGCUCUGGGUUCCAUUCCUAGCACUGCACAAAAAGCCACCACCAAACUCUACAAACAACCCCCACCCUACUUUGAAAAUACGAGCACUUGCAUGGUUAGAGUCACUGAGAGCCUAGGCAUGGGUGCCUAAGAGUAAGACAGAGAUGCUGAGCCUGCCCGUGCACUGUGGAGGCAUGUGUUGUGGGUUCAGCUAUCAGUAUUACGGGCUGUGUGUUAAGAAACACGAGUGGAUCAAUGAUAUGGCUCAGUUGGUAAGUCCUUGCCUAGCAGUCAUAAAAGCCUGGGUUCCUUCAUCAGCACUGCAUAAACUGGGCCCUGGUGGUGCACAUCUCCAGUCACUUGGGAGGUGAAGGCAAGACUAUUGGAAAUUCAAGGUCAUCCUCAAUUAAUACUAGUUUAAGGACAGCCUGGGAUUUAUGAGACUCUGC